rnacentral:rRNA from 1 species
UAUCUCUGUAGAGUCUGCAUAUCAAUAAGCGGAGGAAAAGAAACUAACUAGGAUUCCCUCAGUAACGGCGAGUGAAGCGGGAAGAGCUCAAAUUUGAAAUCUUCAAGGUUUUACCUUGACGAAUUGUAGUUUAAAGAAGUGUUUUCUGUUGGAGUUUUGGUAAAAGUUCUUUGGAAUAGGACAUCAUAGAGGGUGAGAAUCCCGUAUUUGACCAUUAUUUCCAGCUUUGUGAUACACUUUCAAAGAGUCGGAUUGUUUGGGAAUGCAGUCCAAAAUGGGUGGUAAAUUUCAUCUAAAGCUAAAUACUGGCGAGAGACCGAUAGCGAACAAGUACCGUGAGGGAAAGAUGAAAAGAACUUUGAAAAGAGAGUUAAACAGUACGUGAAAUUGUCAAAAGGGAAGCGUUUGACACCAGUGUUGUCUUCUCGAAAAUCAAUUAAACAUGGUGGGAUUUUGUGUUGUAUUGACUUUAUCAGCUUUCUGCACUCUUUUCUUAUCUUUUUUAAUGCACUUUUCGUUUAACAAGUCAACAUCAAUUUCUUUUGUUGUAAAAGAGUCAUUGGAAGGUGGCUUUCUUUUCGGAGAAAGUGUUUAUAGCCUUUGGCUUCUGCAAUCGGAGAGAUUGAGGUCUGCAGCGUAGAUCCUUCGGGGUUAGAUACAUUUGUGCUAAGUUAUAGCCUUUCAUAGACAACUUGUUGACUAUGAUCAGUCAUGUAGCUUACUCGCUUAUGCUAUUUUACCUACGCUUAGGAUGUUGAGUCAUCACACAUCUCU